rnacentral:tRNA from 4 species
GGGCCUAUAGCUCAGUUGGUUAGAGCAGGGGACUCAUAAUCCUUUGGUCCACGGUUCGAGUCCGUGUGGGCCCACCA